CCUACGGGGGGCAGCAGUGGGGAAUAUUGGGCAAUGGGCGCAAGCCUGACCCAGCAACGCCGCGUGAAGGAAGAAGGCUUUCGGGUUGUAAACUUCUUUUCUCAGGGACGAAGCAACUGACGGUACCUGAGGAAUAAGCCACGGCUAACUACGUGCCAGCAGCCGCGGCAAUACGUAGGUGGCAGGCGUUAUCCGGAUUUACUGGGUGUAAAGGGCGUGUAGGCUGGAAAGCAAGUCAGAUGUGAAAACCAUGGGCUCAACCUGUGGCCUGCAUUUGAAACUGCUUUUCUUGAGUACUGGAGAGGCAGACGGAAUGCGUGGUGUAGCGGUGAAAUGCGUAGAUAUUAGGAGGAACACCAGUGGCGAAGGCGGUAUGCUGGACAGCAACUGACGCUGAGGCGCGAAAGCGUGGGUAGCAAACAGGAUUAUAUACCCGUGUAGUC
rnacentral:rRNA from 1 species